rnacentral:misc_RNA from 1 species
GAUGAAGAACGUAGCGAAAUGCGAUAAUUAAUGUGAAUUGCAGAAUUCAGUGAAUCAUCGAAUCUUUGAACGCACAUUGCGCCCCCUGGUAUUCCGGGGGGCAUGCCUGUUCGAGCGUCAUUUCAACCCUCAAGCUCUGCUUGGUAUUGAGUCCAUGUCAGCAAUGGCAGGCUCCAAAAUCAGUGGCGGCGCCGCUGGGUCCUGAACGUAGUAAUAUCUCUCGUUACAGGUGCUCGGCGUGCUUCUGCCAAAACCCCAAUUUUUCUAUGGUUGACCUCGGAUCAGGUAGGGAUACCCGCUGAACUUAAGCAUAUCAAUAAGCGGAGGA